GGCCCAAACCUGACGUAAGUUAGAUUAGUAAGGUCAGCUGAUCCUACUAUUCUACUGUACUUCGAAAUUGGGGCC
rfam:Haemonchus contortus, ISE/inbred ISE, WGS project CAVP01000000 data, contig: Hcontortus_23827